rnacentral:rRNA from 1 species
AACGAACGCUGGCGGCGCGCCUAAUACAUGCAAGUCGAGCGAGAAGACGUAGCAAUACGUUUGUAAAGCGGCGAACGGGUGAGGAAUACAUGGGUAACCUACCCUCGAGUGGGGAAUAACUAGCCGAAAGGUUAGCUAAUACCGCGUACGCUCCUUGGACUUCGGUUCAGGGAGGAAAGCGAUACCGUGGGUAUCGCGCUCUUGGAUGGGCUCAUGUCCUAUCAGCUUGUUGGUGAGGUAACGGCUCACCAAGGCUUCGACGGGUAGCUGGUCUGAGAGGACGAUCAGCCACACUGGCACUGC